rnacentral:rRNA from 1 species
UCGAACGAGAAAGUGGAGCAAUCCAUGAGUAAAGUGGCGUACGGGUGAGUAACACGUGGAUCAUCUACCUCCUGAUGGGGAAUAACCCUGGGAAACUAGGGCUAAUACCGCAUAAGCUCGAGAGAGGAAAGCAGCAAUGCGUCGGGAGAGGAGUCCGCGGCCGAUUAGCUAGUUGGCAGGGUAAAAGCCUACCAAGGCAAAGAUCGGUAGCCGGCCUGAGAGGGCACACGGCCACACUGGCACUGAAACACGGGCCAGACUCCUACGGGAGGCAGCAGUGGGGAAUCUUGCACAAUGGGGGAAACCCUGAUGCAGCGACGCCGCGUGAGCGAUGAAGCCCUUCGGGGUGUAAAGCUCUUUCGGCAGGGAAGAUUAUGACGGUACCUGCAGAAGCAGCUGCGGCUAACUACGUGCCAGCAGCCGCGGUAAUACGUAGGCAGCAAGCGUUGUUCGGAGUUACUGGGCGUAAAGGGUGUGUAGGCGGUUGUUUAAGUUUGGUGUGAAAUCUCCCGGCUCAACUGGGAGGGUGCGCCGAAUACUGAAUGACUAGAGUGCGGGAGAGGAAAGUGGAAUUCCUGGUGUAGCGGUGAAAUGCGUAGAUAUCAGGAGGAACACCGGUGGUGUAGACGGCUUUCUGGACCGUAACUGACGCUGAAACACGAAAGCGUGGGGAGCAAACAGGAUUAGAUACCCUGGUAGUCCACGCCCUAAACGAUGCAUAUUUGGUGUGGGUCAUUCAGUUGAUCCGUGCCGGAGCUAACGCGUUAAAUAUGCCGCCUGGGGAGUACAGUCGCAA